rnacentral:rRNA from 1 species
UGGGGAAUAUUGGGCAAUGGGCGAAAGCCUGACCCAGCAACGCCGCGUGAAGGAAGAAGGUUUUCGGAUCGUAAACUUCUAUCCUUGGUGAAGAUAAUGACGGUAGCCAAGAAGGAAGCCCCGGCUAACUACGUGCCAGCAGCCGCGGUAAUACGUAGGGGGCAAGCGUUGUCCGGAAUGAUUGGGCGUAAAGGGCGCGUAGGCGGCCUGGUAAGUCUGGAGUGAAAGUCCUGCUUUUAAGGUGGGAAUUGCUUUGGAUACUGUCGGGCUUGAGUGCAGGAGAGGUAAGUGGAAUUCCCGGUGUAGCGGUGAAAUGCGUAGAGAUCGGGAGGAACACCAGUGGCGAAGGCGACUUACUGGACUGUAACUGACGCUGAGGCGCGAAAGUGUGGGGAGCAA